rnacentral:misc_RNA from 1 species
UGAUGACCGCCCCUGUUAAAACAAGCUGAACCAAAGCUAUCCCAUUGCAGAAGUUAUAAUCGUGUACCUUAGAACUCUGGCAACUAUAGUUUAAGCUUAGUAGACCAAGAGAAAUAUCAUAAUUAAUAUUCCACUAUGGUCUUAGUAGUCGCCCUUCACAUGCAUAAGUUACAUUGCACGUCUCAUCAAGAUAAAGAUUAUACAUAUGGAUAGGCCUUGAGAGGAAGGGCGGCAAUCGAACCAGCAGGUCACAUACACACUCAUCAUCUAACUCAUUUAGCCACCUGCAACAGUUCGCUUGCUCAGUUGAUUCAGGUUGAAUUGCAUGUCUAUGCCUAUGCCUAUGCCUGUGCCCAUGACUCUGUUCUUGACCAUGUUUACGUUCAUGUCCAUGCCUACGCCCCUGACCUUGACCAUGACUAUGAUUGCGUCCAUGCUCGUGUCCCUGACCAGGCCAUUGUUCAUGCCCAUGAUGAUCAUGACCAUGACCAUGACCGUGACUGUGGCCACGCCUAUUCUCUUCAUCAUAAUCAGAGGGAGGAGCCGGUGGCAGGGGUGGCAUAGGAGGUACCAACGGUGGCAAUGGGAUGUAUGGCAGCAUUGCACAGGCAUAGUUCACUAGCGCAAACUG